GCACAAUAAGCAUGCCCAUUAAACUGUGUCAGUCUGCUUGAAUAUUUUCUAAAAAAGAUAUGCCAAGUUGGGUUGUAUUUCCAAUAUUACUCAUUGGCUUGGUAUUCGGCAACAAAGACGAUUCUCAUUGUAUGAAUUGCUCUUUAGCCGAGUGUGUAAUUAAUGCGACUGGAUACAACUCUGAUGCGGAAGGCGGGGCGAAUGUUAUAAAUGUUACAAAAACUGAUAAUAUCUCAAAUAAGUUCUCUGAAUGCGUGCCCAAUGAAUACAGCAUAAAUGGUUCUUUAAUGAAUUACGUUUGUUUUUGGUCACCAAAAUUGGGAUGCCAACCAUUUGUCGCUAUCAAACUCUUGGAACUACCCUACAUAAAAGAGGGGAUUUGCACACAAUGCUUUCUUGUAUGUCCUUGCACUUGGGUACAUUCGACAUCCAUGAGUAUCGAUGGCCAUUUCAGACUGAUAUUAAUGGGCUUUGCUGCGAUCGGGACUUUUUAUAUAAAGUCUGGCCUUUUUUCUAAUAGUUAUCAAAUAAAAUGGUGAGUUACGUUUUCCGCCUUUAAAUGCACAUCACCAAAUUAUAUAACAUUGGAGGUUUG